GGGAACCUACGGGGGGCAGCAGUAGGGAAUCUUCCACAAUGGGCGAAAGCCUGAUGGAGCAACGCCGCGUGGGUGAAGAAGGUCUUCGGAUCGUAAAUCCCUGUUGUUAGAGAAGAAAGUGCGUGAGGGUAACUGUUCACGUUUCGACGGUAUCUAACCAGAAAGCCACGGCUAACUACGUGCCAGCAGCCGCGGUAAUACGUAGGUGGCAAGCGUUAUCCGGAUUUAUUGGGCGUAAAGAGAACGCAGGCGGUCUUUUAAGUCUGAUGUGAAAGCCUUCGGCUUAACCGGCGUAGUGGCUUGGG
rnacentral:rRNA from 1 species